rnacentral:rRNA from 1 species
CCUACGGGAGGCAGCAGUGAGGAAUAUUGGUCAAUGGACGAGAGUCUGAACCAGCCAAGUAGCGUGAAGGAUGACGGCCCUAUGGGUUGUAAACUUCUUUUAUAAAGGAAUAAAACGAGGCACGUGAGCCUUUGUGCAUGGACGUUAUGAAUAAGGAACGGCUAACUCCGUGCCAGCAGCCGCGGUAAUACGGAGGAUCCGAGCGUUAUCCGGCUUUAGUGGGUUUAAAGGGAGCGUAGAUGGGUUGGUAAGUCAGUUGUGAAAGUUUGCGGCUCAACCGUAAAAUUGCCAUUGAUACUGGCAGUCUUGAGUACAGUUGCGGUCGGCGGACUUCGUGUUGUAGCGG